CCGUGCUAAGCGGGGAGGUAGCGGUGCCCUGUACUCGCAAUCCGCUAUAGCGAGGUCGAAUCCCUUCUCGAGGUUCUGGCAUUUUAGGGUCUGACCUGAGUAAGUGGUGUUGACGUUUGGGUUCUGCGCAACGGAAACUCGUGAACCCUGUCAGGUCCGGAAGGAAGCAGCAGUAAGCGAUCCUUUCCGUGUGCCGCAGAGUCGCCUGAAUCGAGCUAACUGCUCAGGUAACGCCUAGGAUGCUUUUAUCAACAGAAGGUGCACGG
rnacentral:SRP_RNA from 1 species